UACGAAGGGUGCAAGCGUUACUCGGAAUUACUGGGCGUAAAGCGUGCGUAGGCGGUUUGUUAAGUCCGUUGUGAAAGCCCUGGGCUCAACCUGGGAAUUGCAGUGGAUACUGGCGAGCUAGAGUGCGGUAGAGGAUGGUGGAAUUCCCGGUGUAGCGGUGAAAUGCGUAGAGAUCGGGAGGAACACCCGUGGCGAAGGCGGCGACCUGGGUCGAGACUGACGCUGAGGCGCGAAAGCGUGGGGAGCAAACAGG
rnacentral:rRNA from 1 species